rnacentral:rRNA from 1 species
GACGGAGGGGGCUAGCGUUGCUCGGAAUGACUGGGCGUAAAGGGCGCGUAGGCGGUUUGUACAGUCAGAUGUGAAAUUCCUGGGCUCAACCUGGGGGCUGCAUUUGAUACGUAUGGACUGGAGUGAGGAAGAGGGUCGUGGAAUUCCCAGUGUAGAGGUGAAAUUCGUAGAUAUUGGGAAGAACACCGGUGGCGAAGGCGGCGACCUGGUCCUUUACUGACGCUGAGGCGCGAAAGCGUGGGGAGCAAACAGG